rnacentral:tRNA from 1 species
AUCGGUGGUUCAGUGGUAGAAUGCUCGCCUGCUGCGCGGGGCCGCCCGGGUUCGAUUCCCGGCCGAUC